UGAGGAAUAUUGGGCAAUGCCCGCAAGGGUGACCCAGCAACGCCGCGUGGAGGAUGAAUGUCGUAAGAUUGUAAACUCCUGUUAGAGGGGAAGAAUAGUACCGGUUGGACCGGUAUAUGACUGUACCCUCAGAGAAAGCCCCGGCUAACUACGUGCCAGCAGCCGCGGCAAUACGAAGGGGGCAAGCGAUGCCUGGAUUUACGGGGUGUAAAGGGAGCGCAGGCGGGAUAAAAAGUCAGUGGUGAAAUCCUACAGCUUAACUGUAGAACUGCCUUUGAUACUGUUAUUCUUGAGUUCGGGAGAGAGGGACGGAAGUCCAGGUGUAGGGGUGAAAUACGUAGAUAUCUGGAAGAACACCAGUGGCGAAGGCGGUCUCUUGGUCCGACACUGACGCUGAGGCGCGAAAGCGUGGGGAGCAAACA
rnacentral:rRNA from 1 species